rnacentral:rRNA from 1 species
UACGAAGGGGGCUAGCGUUGCUCGGAAUCACUGGGCGUAAAGGGUGCGUAGGCGGGUUUUUAAGUCAGGGGUGAAAUCCUGGAGCUCAACUCCAGAACUGCCUUUGAUACUGAAGAUCUUGAGUCCGGGAGAGGUGAGUGGAACUGCGAGUGUAGAGGUGAAAUUCGUAGAUAUUCGCAAGAACACCAGUGGCGAAGGCGGCUCACUGGCCCGGUACUGACGCUGGAGGCACGAAAGCGUGGGGAGCAAACAGGG